rfam:Solanum lycopersicum cultivar Heinz 1706 chromosome 1, whole genome shotgun sequence.
GAGAGCCGUGUGAUGGGUGACUAUCCAGCACGGUUCGGAGAGCACUUUUAGUCUGCGCUGAUGAAUGGAAGCUCCCCCCUAUCAAGCAAGAAGGAAGCGGAAAUCCUACGGGUUGGAUUGCUCGUGUGUCCAGGGGACAAAUCCUUACCACUCCUUAUUUUUACUUAUAUAUUACUCUCU